rfam:Escherichia coli strain ec11 unknown (498), hcp gene, complete cds; and RhsG accessory genetic element VgrG protein, core component and dsORF-g1 genes, complete cds.
GGUGGCAGGCCCACCGGGAUCUGCUGUCGGAAGUCGGUCCCAAACAACCCCGGCUGCUGUGGUAAAGAGCCAUGGUAGUGAGCGCAGGGGCAGGGAAAGAUCACGUAACGCUGAUUUUUUG